GGAAGGAUGCCGGAGAGGCCAAACGGCGCUGUUUCGAAAACAGAUGGUCAUAGCAAUAUGGCGCGAGCGUUCGACUCGCUCUCCUUCCGCCA
rnacentral:tRNA from 1 species